CCCCUGGUGUAGUGGUUUGAGAGUUGGACUAUGACUCUGAAGACCAGGGUUUGAAUCCCUGCUAGGCCA
rnacentral:tRNA from 1 species